UACGGAAGGCAGCAGUGGGGAAUAUUGCACAAUGGGCGAAAGCCUGAUGCAGCUAUGCCGCGUGUAUGAAGAAGGCCUUAGGGUUGUAAAGUACUUUCAUCGGGGAGGAAAAAACAAAACUAAUAAUUUUAUUUCUUGACGUUACCCGAAAAAGAAGCACCGGCUAACUCCGUGCCAGCAGCCGCGGUAAUACGGAGGGUGCUAGCGUUAAUCAGAAUUACUGGGCGUAAAGAGCACGUAGGUGGUUUUUUUAAGUCAGAUGUGAAAUCCCUGGGCUUAACCUAGGAACUGCAUUUUGAAACUGAAAUACUAGAGUAUCGUAGAGGGAGGUAGAAUUCUAGGUGUAGCGGUUGAAAUGCGUAGAUAUCUGGAGGAAUACCUGUGGCGAAAGCGGCCUCCUAAACGAAUACUGACACUGAGGGUGCGAAAGCGUGGGGAGCAAACAGGGAUUAGGAUACC
rnacentral:rRNA from 1 species